UUUUUUUUUCAAACAAUUAUUUUCCGUUUUUUUAAAAAAAAAUUCACAUAUUUUAUAUAUAUAUCAGUGCAAUGAGCUUGACAUACUGAUUAAGCAAAAACUGAUAUUAGAAAGUUAGUUAAAUUGAGUUUUUUUUUUGAAUUCAUAUUUAGUUGUUUCUUUUACAUAAAAGAGUUGUAAGAGCGUUGAAAAAAAAUAAUAGACAGAGUUUUAUGCAUCACAAGCGCACACACAUAUAUAUACAUCCUUAUAUUAUACAUCGUAAAUAAAAAAAGCAAAAGAUGGUUUCAUCAGAGUUUGAAAAUAGUAAAAUUAAGCUUCCUUAUGAAAACGAAAUUACGAAACAAAUCGUAAAUAAAAUUUUGGAUAAUUUAAAUGAUAAGCAACAAACGGCAUAUGUUGGAUAUAGCAUGAAUAAAAACCAAAUCGUAAAAUACUUUCAUGAAGCUGAGCAGUUAUUCAUUUAUCAUGACAUUAACAAAUCAGGUGAAAUCGACAUAAAAUUAUUUCCACAAAUGGCUAGACAACUAAAACAAGUUUAUAGUAUAAGAGAUGUUAAAGAAUUUGAAAAAGAAAUGUACAUAAAAAAAAUUGAUAAAAUGAAUUUGCCAAUUUUUUUGACAUUAUUAAAAAGAAGAAUGAAUCAACUUAUUGAUAGUGAUGAAACUUUUUUUAAACAUUUUAAUAUAUUAGAUAUGAAAAAAGAAAACAAAAUUGAUCUUAAAAAAGUAAGUGGUUUUAUUAAAACCGUGGGGGAUAAGGCAAUUUUAAUCAUUAAACAUAUUUUUUUAUUUUUUUUAUUUUCCUGUACUGUAAUUAAAACUUUGUGUUAAUCGAUUUGGGUAUAACUAACAUUUGGGCAAUCAUAAAUAGUUAUUUUUAUGGUUAAGUCUGGUUUGGUACUUGUUUUGUUUUUUAAAUACAAAAAUGCCAAUAUAUCGAAAUAGUUUGG